rnacentral:rRNA from 1 species
AUGCAGCCCGGCGGGGCGCCCUCCGGCAGCUCGCCGGCCUCGUCGCCGCGGCCGGAGCAGCCGCCCGCGCCGUCGCAGCAGCAGCAGCAGCAGCAGGCGCAGCACCUAGGGUUCGCCAGGAAUCAGGCGAUGAUGCAGCAGCAGCAGCAGCAGCAAUCCUACCAGGCCGGCAUGCCGCAUGGUAUGAUGGGUGGAGGGGGCGGCUUCCCCCAGUCCUCGGGCCCGAUGGGGCCGUUCCAGGGCCAGAGGGGCCUGCCCCAGCCCGGUGGACCGCAGGGCCUGGUUGUGGGCCAGCAGUACAGCCAGAGCACAAUGCAGCAGCAGCAGGCGUACAUGCAGUUUCUGAUGCAGCAGCAGAAGUCGCAUGGGAUGCAACUCCAGCAGCAGCAGCAGCAGCAGCAGCAGGCCAAGAUGAAUAUGGCAGGACCGUCCACAAGGGACCAGGAUGCGGCUGCCAACCCCGCCAAGAUGCAGGAGCUCAUGUCCCUUCAGGCCCAGGCCCAGGCCCAGGCUCAGGCUCAGGCCCAGGCCCAGGCGCAGGCGCAGGCGCAGAUGCUUAAGAGGCAAUCCGAGCAUCUUCAGCAGGCGGAGAAGCAGCCGGAGCAGGGGCAGCGGGCCGGUAGCGAGCAAAGGAGCGCUGACAUGAGGCCUCCUGUGCCACCACAAGGAAUCCCUGGGCAGCAGAUGUCAUCAGCUGGUAUGGUGAGGCCGAUGCAGCCAAUGCAAGGUCAAGUGGGCAUGGCCAGCAUGGGUGGUAUCCCGUUGCAAGCUAUCCAUGCCUGGGCAAAGGAGCAGAAAAUCGAUCUGUCUGAUCCUGCAAAUGCAAGUCUCAUUUCUCAAAUCAUACCUAUCUGGCAGUCCAGGAUGGCUGCCAUGCAGAAGCAGAACACGACAAACAUGGCUGCACAGCAGCAACAGCAACAGCAGCAGCAGCAGCAGCAGCAACAGCAGCAGAAUCAGCAAAUGCUUCCUAGGCAGGCGAACAGUGAUGCCCCAGUAAAUGGGAAUAAUCCUGGUCAGGCUCCAUUGAAGCCCCGGCAGCCUCCCCUGCCUAGUUCUUCUGUGUCUGCUGGAGCAGAGACAAAGAUGGCGAAUCCAAGCAACUUGCAGAUGCAGCAGCAGUUUUCUGCCCAAAGUUCAAAUGAGAGGGCUGUGAGGCCGCCCAUGACAAUGGGCAACGCCGGGCAAAUGAUGCAUAUGACCCAAAGUUCUGUACACGGGAAUAAGAUUUCUGAGCAGCCCAAUCCAAAGAAUACCCUUGCGAGUUCAGAAGCGAUGCAGCUGCAGUAUGCAAGACAGUUGCAGCAGGCUAAUCGAGCUACCGCCCCUACAGCAACUCCUGGUGAAACAGGAGGAUCACAGGCCCCAACUCAAGGUGGUCGGCCGAAUUCGAAUUUCACAAAACAUCAACUUCAUGUACUUAAAGCUCAAAUAUUAGCUUUUCGGCGUCUGAAGCGUGGUGACCGUACGCUCCCACCGGAAGUUCUUGAAUUAAUCAUGUCUCCUCCGCCACUGCCGGACUCGCAGACACAGCUGGUCUCUGGACCUCCAGUAAUACCCAAUCGUGAAAGGGCUGCUUCAGUCAAUGCUGAUGAACAAGGAAGGCCCAUGGAGAGUGGUGAUAAAGCUCCUGAAAAACCUCUAUUGUUGAAGGGACCCUCUUUACCAAAGGCGGAGGUUUCUGCUUCGGAAGAGAAAACUGGUUCUGCAAGUGGGCCCAUGCAAGUGAAGGAAGUUCCGCCCAAGGAGCCUCUUAGAAUUUUACCAGUUUCUGCACCUGAACAAAGUAACACUGCUCCCAUUAAAUCUGAGCAGGAACCAGAAAGGGGUGCCCAGCGAACACCUGGGAGAAGUGAUUACAGUGGUGAAAGGGGAAAAUCUGUACCGACCGAUAGUGGCUCGGCAGAUGCUGAGCAGGCAAAAAGAGCUGCCUCUACAAGUAGCGCACCAUCUCCAAGGGAUGUUCCCAGAAAAUAUCAUGGUCCAUUAUUUGAUUUCCCGUCCUUUACUAGGAAACAUGAUUCCAUGCCCCCUGCAAAUUACAACGGUAGUUUGGCACUUGGUUAUGACAUGAAAGAUUUGUUGGCUCAGGAAGGCAUGAUGGUUCUUGGCAAGAAACGAGAGGAUAACUUGAAAAAGAUUAGCGGCUUGCUUUCAAUUAAUCUAGAGAGGAAAAGGAUCCGGCCAGAUCUUGUUUUGAGGCUACAGAUUGAAGAAAAAAAGCUGAAACUCCUAGAGCGUCAGGCUCGCAUGAGGGAUGAAGUUGAAGAGGUGCAACAAGAAAUAAUGGCGAUGCCUGAUAGGAUAUACAGGAAGUUUGUCAAGCAAUGCGAGCGUCAACGCGUCGAGCUUAUAAGGCAAGUUCAGCAGAUGCAAAAGGCCUCGAGAGAGAAGCAGCUGAAAUCCAUUUUCCAAUGGCGCAAGAAGCUUUUGGAAGCACAUUGGGCUAUUCGUGAUGCACGAAUAACUCGUAACAGAGGGGUGGCCAAGUACCAUGAAAGGAUGUUGAGGGAAUUCUCAAAGAAGAAGGAUGAUGAUCGAAGCAAAAGAAUGGAGGCACUAAAAAACAAUGAUGUGGAACGAUAUCGUCAAAUACUAUUGGAACAACAAACUAGUGUUCCUGGUGACGCAGCUCAAAGAUACAAUGUUCUAUCUUCGUUCUUAUCCCAGACUGAAGAGUACCUUUAUAAACUCGGUGGGAAAAUUACUGCUACCAAGAAUCAGCAACAAGUAGAAGAGGCAGCAAAUGCUGCAGCAGCAGCUGCACGGGCACAGGGUCUUUCUGAAGAAGAAGUGAAGGCUGCUGCACAAUGUGCUGGCCAGGAGGUUAUGAUAAGAAACACAUUCUCGGAGAUGAAUGCACCAAGGGAGGAAAAUGCAUCUGUUAACAAGUACUACAUGUUAGCUCAUGCUGUGAGUGAAAAAGUAACAAAGCAGCCCUCACUUUUGAGAUUAGGAACUUUAAGGGACUACCAACUGGUGGGCCUUCAGUGGAUGCUUUCACUCUACAAUAACAAAUUGAAUGGCAUUUUGGCUGAUGAGAUGGGUCUUGGCAAGACUGUACAGGUUAUGGCAUUGAUUGCAUACUUGAUGGAGUUUAAAGGGAACUAUGGACCACAUCUCAUAAUAGUGCCAAAUGCUGUCUUGGUCAAUUGGAAGAGUGAACUGCUAAAUUGGUUACCAUCCGCAUCUUGCAUCUUUUAUGUUGGUGCAAAGGAUCAAAGGCAAAAGUUGUUCUCUCAAGAGGUUUUGGCUGUCAAAUUUAAUGUUCUUGUGACAACAUAUGAAUUCGUUAUGUUUGAUCGUUCUAAGCUUUCAAGAAUUGACUGGAAGUACAUUAUAAUUGAUGAGGCCCAACGAAUGAAGGACAGAGAGUCAGUCUUGGCCCGUGAUCUUGAUCGCUAUCGUUGCCAGCGACGUCUCCUUCUCACUGGCACUCCUCUACAGAAUGAUCUCAAGGAGCUUUGGUCCCUUCUAAACUUGUUGCUUCCAGAAGUGUUUGACAACCGCAAGGCAUUUCAAGAUUGGUUCUCAAAGCCUUUUCAGAGGGAUGCUCCUACACCUAACGAAGAAGAUGAUUGGUUGGAGACCGAGAAGAAAGUGAUUAUUAUUCACAGGCUUCAUCAAAUUUUGGAACCUUUUAUGCUACGUAGGCGUGUUGAAGAUGUUGAAGGUUCACUUCCACGGAAGGACUCUAUUGUUUUGAGGUGCAAAAUGUCUGCCAUUCAAGGUGCUAUAUAUGAUUGGAUCAAAUCCACUGGCACCAUUAGAGUCGAUCCGGAAGAUGAGAAAAUACGUAUCCAAAGAAAUCCAAUGUACCAGGCCAAGACAUAUAAGAAUCUCCAAAACAAAUGCAUGGAACUGAGGAAAGUCUGCAACCAUCCUUUGCUCUCAUAUCCCUUUAUGAAUUACUACGGGAAGGAUUUUAUUAUCAGAUCUUGUGGGAAGUUGUGGAAUCUUGAUAGGAUUUUAAUCAAGCUUCAUAGAUCUGGUCACCGUGUUCUCCUCUUUAGCACUAUGACAAAACUUCUUGACAUCCUGGAGGACUAUUUGCAAUGGAGGCAACUUGCUUACAGGCGAAUUGAUGGAACAACUAGCUUGGAGGACCGUGAAUCAGCAAUUGUUGAUUUUAAUAGGCCUGGUUCUGAGUGUUUUAUAUUCUUGCUUAGUAUCCGUGCUGCUGGUAGAGGUCUGAAUCUUCAGAGUGCAGACACUGUUGUAAUUUAUGACCCCGAUCCCAAUCCACAAAAUGAAGAACAAGCUGUUGCAAGGGCCCAUCGUAUAGGGCAGACUAGGGAGGUAAAGGUUAUUUACAUGGAGGCUGUUGUUGAUAACAUCUCAAGUUAUCACAAAGAGGAUGAAUUGAGGAACGGAGGAAGUGGAGAUCUGGAGGAUGACCUUGCUGGAAAGGACAGAUACAUGGGUUCAAUCGAAAGUCUCAUCCGCAAUAAUAUCCAACAGUACAAAAUUGAUAUGGCAGAUGAAGUCAUUAAUGCUGGUCGUUUUGAUCAAAGAACGACCCAUGAGGAAAGGCGCAUGACCUUGGAGACCCUGCUGCAUGAUGAAGAGAGGUAUCAAGAAAGUCUUCAUGAUGUUCCUUCGCUGCAGGAAGUUAAUCGCAUGAUUGCUCGGACUGAAGAGGAAGUCGAGCUCUUUGAUCAGAUGGAUGAAGAAUUCGAUUGGACAGGAGAUAUGAUGAAGCAUAAUCAGGUUCCAAAGUGGCUCCGUGUUGGCUCUACAGAUGUUGACUGUGUUGUGGCGAGCUUAACCAAAAAGCCUGCCAGAAAUGCAUCUGGCAGUGCUCCUGACAAUGGUGACAAACUCGAGAAAAGAAGGGGGAGACCCACGGGGUCUGGUAAGUACUCUAUCUACAGGGAGUAUGAAGAUGAAGAUGAUGAGGAGUCUGAAGAAGAUGAUGAAGAGAGGAAUACACCAUCUCACCCUGAAGAAGAAGCAGGAGAAUCUGAAGAGGAAGAGGAAAAUGAUGAUUCAGUACCCGAUGAUGAUAACAAAGAUCAAUCGGAGGAAGAAGAGCCUAACAACGAUGAUGGGUACGAUCUUCAACAAGGGACAGGAAGUGGAAAAGGUCACAAGUCUGAAGAAGCUGGCUCUACAGGAUCUUCAUCUGGAAGCAGGAGAUUACCACCACCCGCCCCUUCCUCAUCUUUGAAGAAGUUGCGGUCUCUAUCUGCAUUAGAUUCCCGCCCAGGCACUUUUUCAAAAAGAACUUCAGAUGACUUGGAGGACGGAGAGAUUGCAUUAUCAGGGGACUCACAUAUGGAUCUACAGCAAUCAGGAAGCUGGAACCAUGACCGGGAUGAUGGUGAGGAUGAACAGGUCCUGCAGCCAAAAAUAAAACGCAAAAGGAGUCUCCGAACUCGUCCAAGACCUAGCACCGAUAAACAGGAAGAUAGAUCUGGUGCAGAUGGUACCUUCCCCCAACGUGGUGCUCGCCUUUUAUUCCCAGGAGAUGGUGAUUAUGAUUCACAGCAAGAUGCCCAUGCUCUUGCAGAUCCUACUUCCAGGCAGCAAGACACAGUUCAUCCGAUAGUGAAGCAGAAGCGUAACAUGCCAUCUGGAAAGGCCUCUCCUGCUUCUAGGGCAGGGAAGUCCACCCACUUGUCUGGGUCUGCCGAGGGAUCUGCUGAACACUCUAAGCAGAAUUGGAGCAACAAGGUCAUCAGUUCUGCUGGCACAAAGAUGUCUGACAGCAUGCAAAGAAAGUGCAAGAAUGUAAUAAGCAAGCUUUGGAGGAGAAUUGGCAAAGAGGGACACCAAAAGAUACCCAACAUAGCUUCUUGGUGGCGAAGGAAUGAAAAUUCUUCAUCCAAAGGUGUGGCUGGAAGCACCCUCGACCUACAGAAAAUCGAAUUGCGAGUUGACGGAUUAGAGUAUGGCAGCGUAGCUGAGUUCAUAGCGGACAUGCAACAGAUGUUGAAGAGUGUGGUUCAACAUUUUGGCUACAGACACGAGGUCCGGGUAGAAGCUGAGAUUCUCCACAACCUAUUCUUCAACAUAAUGAAGAUCGCCUUCCCAGACUCUGACUUCCAAGAGAUGAAGGACUCGCUGUCGUUUUCGAAUCCCGGAGGUGGUGCAAGCGGCACGGCUGUCCCAUCAGCAAAGCACCUGGCUUCAGGCCUGAAGCGCCGGUCCGCCACCACUGAAGCGGAGCAGCAUGGUCCCGGCAGCGGCAAGCACAGCAGCCAUCACGCGUCGGCCGGCGAGGCUCCUAGCCGGGCCAAACCCGACAGGGACUCGAGGCAUUCAGGACCAGGAAGCAGGGACCAGAGCCUCGACAGCCCAGGGCUGCCGCUGCACCCUGGCGACCUGUUCAUCGCCAAGAAGAAGAGGCAAGACCGGGCUCGGUCCAGCAUCGGGUCGCCCUCCAGCUCAGGCCCCCGAGGACCGCUCUCCCCGACCAGCACCGGCCGGUUGGGCCCGGUGCCGUCGCCCAGAGGCGCGAGGACGCCGUUCCAGAGGGACUCUCACCCGUCCCAGCAGUCCAUGCCCGGGUGGGGCGCGCACUCGGACCGCGGGGGGAGCUCGCCGCCCGGCAUCGGGGACAUCCACUGGGCCAAGCCCGCCAAGCGGCAGCGGACCGACACCAGCAAGAGGCGGCCGAGCCACUUGUGA